GGGCAAUGAGGAGGAACAAAGUCAUGCACCACUCUGAUAUUGAUUUUAUCAAUCUGUGCUGAUACACGACUCUAAACCCAUAUCUUAUCUGAGCCC